UUCUUCUCUUCCUUUAUAUUCUUUUGAUUUUCCCGCUGUAAGCUCAUUCCUUUCUUUUCUCCGCCACAGCCAAACUUCCAACUCCUUCGACGCCACUUUCGGCAUCACGACUCCUCCUCAUCUUCCAUACCACACACCACCAAGCUCUGACGAAAUGCAAGAGAUCGCCGCCUGCCAACGGAGGCGACGAACGGACGGAAGGAAUUCGUCUUCCCGAAACAGAGUAGUCCCUAGCGAAUCGACGGCGACGGAGGCCGGCCAGCGGAGGUGACGGGCCACCACCGCCGACCGAAGCCAUGGAAACUGGUGACGUGGCUUCGGGUGAACGAUUCUCUCCUGAGGUUCGUUCUGGCCUUCAUGCAGCUUGCUAUAGAUCAGUUGGUGGUACAAUUGUGCGGGAGCUUGAAGAAUGUGUCGUUGAAUUUGUUCGAGAGACGCUAAAGCAGCGUUUCUUCGUAGGUUCUGUCUGUGGAUGCUUGAUAGUGAAUUCAUAGGUUAUCGACAUUACACGCUGCAACAUCAGCGAUGAUCUCUGCAAGGCAACAAGAUAUGCAGAGACAGAAGCUCUUGAUAUUCUUCUCGAGCAAUGGCAAUGGACUGGAUUUUCAUCUACAGAAGUUGCAGAGAAAUUUUCAGCAUGCUCCCUCUAUGUGAGCUGAACCAUGCAUAAUGUGUGCAGCAGCAUCAUCAAGCAUUGAGGAAGCAUAUUAUGGCUGUGCAAAUGAUAUAUUUGGAGGCUGUGGCUCAAUAGUCAUUGCAUUCAAGUACCUCUGAGGCAUGCAUUAGUAAUGGAAAUUCUAGAUCAUAUGCACCCAAGUAUAGUUGAUUCAGUGGAACAGUGUUCAGCCAUAUAAUGGUUGCAAAGAAUGGGUGUAGAAUUUGCUCAGUAACAAAAGGUAGGAGUAAUAGAUGCCCAGUCUUCUUUUUUUUUUUUUUUUUGGCCAAUUUUCAGAUGCCUUAUUUAUCAAAUGUAGCUUUUUCCUCUAGACUGGGUAUUCUUAGCCAGAUUGUCAUUUGAGAAAUGGGACGUCAUGUCCUUGGUUAAGGAAAAACACAUAGUGCAGUAUCUUAAUAGCUAAUCCAUUUGUUAGACUCGUUGAGAGAAGUAUCUUCUUGAUCCUUAUUGUGAAUUACUAACAUAUAUGGUUCUUGGUCAA